CCUACGGGACGCAGCAGUGGGGAAUAUUGCACAAUGGGCGCAAGCCUGAUGCAGCCAUGCCGCGUGUAUGAAGAAGGCCUUCGGGUUGUAAAGUACUUUCGGCGGGGAGGAAGGUGUUGCGGUUAAUAACCGCAGCAAUUGACGUUACCCGCAGAAGAAGCACCGGCUAACUCCGUGCCAGCAGCCGCGGUAAUACGGAGGGUGCAAGCGUUAAUCGGAAUUACUGGGCGUAAAGCGCACGCGGGCGGUCUGUCAAGUCGGAUGUGAAAUCCCCGGGCUCAACCUGGGAACUGCAUUCGAAACUGGCAGGCUGGAGUCUUGUAGAGGGGGGUAGAGUUCCAGGUGUAGCGGUGAAAUGCGUAGAGAUCUGGAGGAAUACCGGUGGCGAAGGCGGCCCCCUGGACAAAGACUGACGCUCAGGUGCGAAAGCGUGGGGAGCAAACAGGAUUAGAUACCCCCGUAGUC
rnacentral:rRNA from 1 species